rnacentral:rRNA from 1 species
AUUGAACGCUGGCGGCAUGCCUUACACAUGCAAGUCGAACGGUAACGGGCCUUCGGGUGCCGACGAGUGGCGAACGGGUGAGUAAUGUAUCGGAACGUACCUUUCAGUGGGGGAGAAAGUAGCGAAAGUUACGCAAAUUCCGCAUAUUCUGUGAGGAGGAAAGCAGGGGACAGCAAGAUCUUGCGCUGAUCGAUGGGCCGAUAUCAGAUUAGCUAGUUGGUGAGGUAAAGGCUCAGCAAGGCGACGAUCUGUAGUGGGGCUGAGAGGAUGAUCCGCCACACUAGAACUGAGACACGGUGCAGACUCCUACGGGAGGCAGCAGUGGGGAAUUUUGGACAAUGGGGGCAACCCUGAUCCAGCCAUGCCGCGUGAGUGAAGAAGGCCUUCGGGUUGUAAAGCUCUUUCGGACGGGAAGAAAUCGUAUCAGCUAAUACCUGGUACAGAUGACGGUACCGGCAUAAGAAGCACCGGCUAACUACGUGCCAGCCGCCGCGGUAAAAC